GCGCCGAUGGUCUAGCGGUAUGAUUCUCGCUUAGGGUUCACCCUGAGGUACAAAUUUGCGAGAGGUCCCGGGUUCAAUCCCCGGUUGGCGCC